UACGUAGGUGGCAAGCGUUGUCCGGAUUUACUGGGCGUAAAGGAUGCGUAGGCGGACAUUAAGUCAGAUGUGAAAAUACCCCGAGCUUAACUUGGGUGCUGCAUUUGAAACUGGGUGUCUAGAGUGCAGGAGAGGUAAGUGGAAUUCCUAGUGUAGCGGUGAAAUGCGUAGAGAUUAGGAAGAACACCAGUGGCGAAGGCGACUUACUGGACUGUAACUGACGCUGAGGCAUGAAAGCGUGGGGAGCAAACAGG
rnacentral:rRNA from 1 species